CUGUGAAUAUUCUUGCUGUCCUGAUUUUGUGAUAAUCAGGGCAGGCUAACCAUUCACUAUAUUAGGACUACACAGUAUCCUCAGACCUAGCUUUUCCCCCUAUGUCUUGUUUUUAAAAUGCUGGUGAUAAAC
rnacentral:snoRNA from 1 species